UACGGAGGGUGCGAGCGUUGUCCGGAAUCACUGGGCGUAAAGGGCGCGUAGGCGGUCCGGUAAGCGCGUGGUGAAAGCCCGGGGCUCAACCCCGGGUCGGCUGUGCGGACUGCGGGACUCGAGCACUGUAGAGGCGGGCGGAAUUCCGGGUGUAGCGGUGGAAUGCGUAGAGAUCCGGAAGAACACCGGUGGCGAAGGCGGCCCGCUGGGCAGGAUGCUGACGCUGAGGCGCGACAGCGUGGGGAGCAAACAGG
rnacentral:rRNA from 1 species